rnacentral:lncRNA from 1 species
GCAACUCUCAAAUCCUCAACACUUAGUACACUUCAAAAAUUGAAAGAAAUAUACAAAUUUAGAUCACGUUAACAAAUUCAGUAUAUAUGUGGCAAUAUAAUAAAGCAUCACGCAUCAGCUAAUUUAGUAGGCAUCAAACUUAUACUCUCAUUUACUUCAAUAUCAUCGUAAAUCGUGUAAACAUAGGUUUAUACCAACAAAAUCAACAGAACCGAAAUAUGAACAAACCUAAUCGAAUACAAAACACAUAUCCACACAACAUACGCCUAAUCACAGGAACUUCAAAAGCUGUACGUAAUACGAACAAAUCCUGCAGAUUGGUAAAAAAAUCGAUAUGAACUUUCUUUUUCUCUUCACAACUUAGAAAAAGACGCAGCACGAAAAAAACACAUACCUAAUGACGGAUUCAGAAGCUGUAGCGACGAGUGGAACAAAAUCAACAUAACAGAAAUAUGAACAAACACAUAUCUACACAACAUAAUCGAGUACGCAACACAUAUCUACACAACAUACGCCUAAUCAGAAGAACUUCAAUCGCUGUAAUACGAACAAAUCCUGCAGAACGGAAAAAAAAACGAUAUGAACUUUCUUCUACUCUUCACAACUUAGAAAAAGACGCAGCAGAACAAUGCAUCACAUACCUAAUCGCGGAUUCAGAUGGUGUAGCGACGAGAGGAUGCAGUGGGAGCCGGAAACUGAACGAAGAAUACUCGGUUUCCCGAUCUCGUUACCGGCGGCAAUUCUCGUGGCGGCGGCGGCGGAACCAGGAGAUGGAGGCCAUCAGCACGUCGAGCAUCCGAUCCGGAGAAAAAACGGUGGAUAAAACCGUGGACGAGAACGUACAUCAAGCUUCCGGCGGUCAUCAAAGCAAUCGAUGCCAAAUCAACACUUAAAUUGUGCUCAUGAUUGUGAUUGAGAUUGAAUUCUUUGUAAUCCAGCUUAUGAAUCAUCUUCAGAAACUCGUGAUACACAACGAAAAUGGAACUAGGUUUAACAUUAAGCCCUAAUUGCCGAGUUUAAAGGCGCGCG